ACUCCUACGGGAGGCAGCAGUGGGGAAUAUUGCACAAUGGGCGCAAGCCUGAUGCAGCCAUGCCGCGUGCAGGAAGACGGUCCUAUGGAUUGUAAACUGCUUUUAUACAGAAAGAAACCCUCCCACGUGUGGGAGCUUGACGGUACUGUAGGAAUAAGGAUCGGCUAACUCCGUGCCAGCAGCCGCGGGUAAUACGGAGGAUCCAAGCGUUAUCCGGAAUCAUUGGGUUUAAAGGGGUCCGUAGGCGGCCUUAUAAGUCAGUGGUGAAAGCCCAUCGCUCAACGAUGGAACUGCCAUUGAUACUGUAAGGCUUGAAUUAUUGUGAAGUAACUAGAAUAUGUAGUGUAGCGGUGAAAUGCUUAGAUAUUACAUGGAAUACCAAUUGCGAAGGCAGGUUACUAACNAAUGGAUUGACGCUGAUGGACGAAAGCGUGGGGAGCGAACAGGAUUAGAUACCCUGGUAGGUCAGUC
rnacentral:rRNA from 1 species